rfam:Rattus norvegicus chromosome 7, whole genome shotgun sequence.
GGGGAUUUUGCUCAGUGGUAGAGCGCUUGCCUAGCAAGUGCAAGGCCCUGGGUUCAGUCCCCA